CCCUCUGUUUAGUUAGUGGAAUUGAGAACAAGGCCCAGGUGGAUGAUUGAGGACUAAACCCCAAACUUGCCUUGGAUCACUCCACUGUUUCAGGACAUCAAGGGCUCUGGACAUUGAGAAAAUUUCCCUUUAAGUUACGAUGGGAAUCCAGAACAACGCCAUAUGGACCCCUCUACGCUCUGAAAUACUUAAGUGCUCAGGAGAAGUCAUCUUCUGGUUGCUGCAAGCGUGUGAUGCCCUGUCAUUAAAAUAAGAAAUAGAUUGUUAUCCUCCG
rnacentral:lncRNA from 1 species